UGCUGGCGUCGGCAGCACAUAUACUAAAAUCGGAACGAUACAGAGAUGAGCAUGGCCCCUGCACAAGGAGGACAUGCAAAUUCGUGAAGCGUUCCAUAUUUUU